AUGAUAAUACCUAUCCUAACCGACGCACGCAGCCAGACGCACAAGAAAACAAUCAUACUCAGUUUAUUUGCAUUUCCAUUUUCUUGCUGUCACUGCACACUCAACACCUCAUCCUAUUUUUCCGUAUCCACCAACGUCACAUUUAAACGUUACCCUCUUCAACUUCUAGGGUUUUCUUUUUCUCCAUUUCUCUCUCUCUCUCUCUCUCUCUCUCUCUCUCUGCUUCGCGCCGUAACAACUUUUCUAUUCAUCUCUUCGGUAUCAAAUCGCUUCAGAAAAAAUCCGAGAGUCGCUUCAUUCUUCGAUAAUCACUCGAUCUGA